rnacentral:misc_RNA from 1 species
UUUCCGUAGGUGAACCUGCGGAAGGAUCAUUAUUGAAUGAACUUGGUAUGAUUGUUGCUGGCCCAUCUGGGCAUGUGCACGUCUGCCAUCUUUAUCUUUCCACCUGUGCACAUAUUGUAGGUCUGGAAUAAAUUUCUGAGGCAACUCAGUAGUGGGGAAUGCUGCUGCGAAGUGGCUUUGCCUGUAAUUUCAGAUCUAUGUUUUCAUAUACACCAUAAAAAUGUAACAGAAUGUCUUAAUGGGUCUUGUACCUAUAAACUAUAUACAACUUUCAGCAAUGGAUCUCUUGGCUCUC